UACAGAGGGUGCAAGCGUUAAUCGGAUUUAUUGGGCGUAAAGAGCGUGUAGGCGGCCAGGUAGGUCAGCUGUGAAAACUCGAGGCUCAACCUCGAGACGCCGGUUGAAACCAUCUGGCUAGAGUCCGGAAGAGGAGAGUGGAAUUCCUGGUGUAGCGGUGAAAUGCGCAGAUAUCAGGAAGAACACCCGUGGCUAAGGCGGCUCUCUAGUACGGUACUGACGCUGAGACGCGAAAGCGUGGGGAGCGAACAGG
rnacentral:rRNA from 1 species